CACGACGCCACCCAAGACAGACGGUUGAUUUCCGCUCGUCAACUCGACUAACUAUUUAUCUGGUGGUUUAAAUCGCUGUUGUUCUUGGGUUCAAAUCAAAUCUAAAUCAACAUCAUCUAGGCCUACAUAAAGCCACGUCCGAACUCAAAACAAGAUCGACAAGAAGCAAGAAGUAUACAAGUAUAUAAAUUACAUACUUAAAGAAUGAAAAGGUGAAAUACCGAUCCAUGCAUUCCACCCCUAUUAAAACAAUGGGCCUACUCUGUGGGAGAGCUAGCGGUCAGCGCUGGACCUUCUACAGUAUUCCUGGAAUUAAUUCCAAUUGAUGGUGUACACCAGCGGGAGGAUGAUGAAUGUGUGAUUUGUUUAGAAAAAGAAAAUUACGCCCGCAGGUGCAAAACAUGCAAAAAAUGCAUCUUGCUGUUAAAGAUGUUUUCAUAAACAUCUUUUUAAAAAAACCGGUGCCAAUGACAUUGACAAAUGAGGUGCCCCUUGGGUGCAGGAGGAAAUCAAGAGAGUUGGUGUCUGCAAGACACUUUUACGCAACUUUAUGAUGUACAAAGAGCCUGCAUUUUAUGGAUCCGUGUACAAGACCUGGAGAAAAUGUCUGACACUCUAAAAUUUUAUUUCAAAAUAAUUCCAGGUACCACAGGGAUACCCGAUUUGUCAAUCAGGUAAUAACUGGUUUUGAAAUUCACCCAAGUUUCAAAUCAUGCAGUUUACAUAAUUGUUUAAAGAACAAAUGAACACUGUCAAUUUUUUGGUGCAAAUUUUAAUGAAUGCUUUUUUUUCAAUUUCCGUGAAUACAAAGACUUUCUGUAGCUAUGUAAUUGUAAAAAUUAAGUUUCUACGUAUUUUUUCAAACCAUUUUACAUAUUUUAUUGUUGUAUUAUUUCGUGUACUAUUUUAUAUCACUGGCUGGCACGCGAUGGGAAAAAUCUUUAAAAUACUUAAAACAAAUUCCAGAUAGAAUAUCUCGAAAAUUUGAUCAUUGACCUUAUACAUGUAUAAUGUUAAUGUCAAUAAAAUACAGACAAUAAAAGUAGUUUUAGGCAAUAGAUGGUUUGAAGCUCCUAUUAGUCAGUUUUUUUGUAAAACUCGAUCAAAAUGAGUAGAAUUUUGAAAAUUGAUAGAGGAAAUUCGGACUAAAUUAAAUUUAAAAUAUGAGCUAUAAAUGAUUCUUUGACAUAUGUAAUUAGUAAAGCUAUUUGUAUUUUAUCGUUUUCCAAACCAACAAAUUGUUUUAUUAUUUGUAAUAAUUGCAAAAUAAAUAAAACGUCGGAAAGGGUGGACAAAUUUGACAAUUUUUUCAAUAAACAUUCAGAAGUCACUAGCAUAAAAAGUAGGCCAUUGACCUAAUUAUUUGAAAGUGAAAAACAGCACCACAGUACUAGGUCUACAAUGUAGAAUAAGUAGUUUUCUGUUCCUAUUUGUAGAAUUUUUUCGCCCCUGAGUAAACGUAAUCUUUAAAACAUUUGUGGUGUGUUUUUGUUAGUAAUAAUGUAGUAGUGUGACUUAGUUUGACUUAUAGUUUUAUAUAUUACUUUUUUUAAGUUAUUUUGAUUCACAUCUGAUUCAUUCAUUUAUUCAAUUUUUCACUCUACUGUGUUGUGUGGUUAAACUCAAACGCCCCUAUUUCAAAUAAUGGUUCAGUCAAUAUAUACAAAAAGUAAAGAAAUUGGAACAUUCCAUAUGAAUAAAGAUGUUUUAUUAUUCUUUGCUUUGGUCAGUAAUGGUCACUUCUGACAGUGGCGGGAGUAUAAUUUCUUUGUGAUCUGGUAAUCUUGUAAUUAAUUCUGCGAGACUUGGGGAAGAGGGAAGACGGGUAUGACAUGAAUAUAUUGUCAACUUUUUGACUGCCGAUAAAUUCCACACUAAGACUGUAAGUAAUUUUCUUUUAUACUAUAAUAAGUAAAUGCUAGGUUAAGGCUAUAAAUAAAUAAUGAAUAAAUCUGUUUUAUUAGUAUGAGUGUGGAGAAUGAAUUUUUAAAAUAAAGUAUACAAUGGAAAGCAUUGUAGAGCCCCUGUGGGUAUAGAUAUACAUGUAUAUAUAUACAUCCCAGAACGUGCAUGGGGAUAUUAAUAAACGGAAUAGUUUUAAUUCAAAGCGGCUUUAUGAAGAUAAUUAUUUGCAUGGUCUCUUCAAUUACAUGUAAUGCAUUUCCCUGAACAAUAUUUCAUUUGGCUAGGGGAUGCUCCGCUUUGUUGUGCCCAUGUUAUCAUAAACGGUUAACUCAAGUAAACGACCAAAAGACAUGCUCGUUGUUACGACAUUUUUUCCCCAAUAUCAAAAGAAUUGACGUUAAUUACAAUGGUCAGCUCAAGUAGAAGAGAUGAACAUGCAGGAUUGAGACAUGUAUAGGAAAAGCUUAAUAUGUCCAUCUAAUUUCUGUGGCAGGCUCGUUUACUAAAUUUUCUGAAAGCUGGUCUGUUUAAGCUUUAUAACCUUAAGCUUUAAGAGUUGAUAACACAGGGAUGCCUUCGACAGUUCAUACAACAUUUUUAGCGUUUCUUUAUCUGAGCGGAUGUUGUCACUCUGGGGGACAUGUUUACUAAGGGAUAUUUAUCUUCUUAGGAUUAUUUAUAAGAAUGUAUUACUGUGUACACACACUACAAAGUACUAUAUCAACAAGUAAAUAAAACAAAAGUAAAGCUUCUCAUUACAAGAUAAUAAAACGCUAUCAAAAAUAGUAAAAUGAAUAAAUGUCACAUUGCUUUAUUUCCGUCUAAGUAAUCUAUAAUUAUGUGCUUUGCAGAUGACAAUGGACGUGCUACUGAUGUUGAAUUUUUUGCAGGAGAGUGGAAAUGGUCAUCGAAAACUACAAAAUCUGAAUUAAGUUGGACUUAAGUUUCUGUUUUUUCCAUUUCUCCAGAAGAUUCUUAACGCAUGAUAAAGACAUUCAAAAUUCUCGUUACGUGGUGGACCCAAAAUUCUGUCAUUUUGUUCGUCCAAUACCUAGUGUAACCAUCCUUUGUCCAAAUAUGUGUGUCGACGAAUCAUUUUGGACCUUGUAGAGUUUUUUAUUUCCUAUUUUGGAAGACGACGGUGCCAGUACGAUACCAAAAUCUUUCAGUUUCCUGAAAUUGAGGAUUUCGGCGUCAUUCACCGUCAACAUCAUAGGAGAUAAGCAACAUCGGUACGAAACGUAAAAAAACCCCCAUAAUUCCUAUCCAGAGUUUAUGAAUAAUGUAAUCAUCAAAUUUGCCCUCGUGUUAGAGACAACGGAGGAUGAAGAUCAUGGGGUGAAAUUCGUCGGAAUUUUUAGAGCUUUAUUACGUCUUUUGC